UGGGAAUAUUGGACAAUGGGCGCAAGCCUGAUCCAGCAAUGCCGCGUGUGUGAAGAAGGCCUUCGGGUUGUAAAGCACUUUUAUCAGGAGCGAAAUACUACCGGUUAAUAACCGGUGGGGCUGACGGUACCUGAGGAAUAAGCACCGGCUAACUUCGUGCCAGCAGCCGCGGUAAUACGAAGGGUGCAAGCGUUAAUCGGAAUUACUGGGCGUAAAGGGUGCGUAGGCGGUUAUUUAAGUCUGUCGUGAAAUCCCCGGCGUCAACCUGGGAAUGGCGAUGGAUACUGGAUAGCUAGAGUGUGUCAGAGGAUGGUGGAAUUCCCGGUGUAGCGGUGAAAUGCGUAGAGAUCGGGAGGAACAUCAGUGGCGAAGGCGGCCAUCUGGGACAACACUGACGCUGAAGCACGAAAGCGUGGGGAGCAAACAGA
rnacentral:rRNA from 1 species